rnacentral:rRNA from 1 species
GAUGAACGCUAGCGACAGGCUUAACACAUGCAAGUCGAGGGGCAGCAUAGAAGUAGCAAUACUUUGGUGGCGACCGGCGCACGGGUGAGUAACGCGUAUGCAACCUACCUAUCAGAGGGGAAUAACCCGGCGAAAGUCGGACUAAUACCGCAUAAAACAGGGGCACCGCAUGGUGAUAUUUGUUAAAGAAAUUCGCUGAUAGAUGGGCAUGCGUUCCAUUAGGUAGUUGGUGGGGUGACGGCUCACCAAGCCGACGAUGGAUAGGGGAACUGAGAGGUUGGUCCCCCACGCUGGUACUGAGACACGGACCAGACUCCUACGGGAGGCAGCAGUGAGGAAUAUUGGUCAAUGGGCGGGAGCCUGAACCAGCCAAGUCGCGUGAAGGAAGAAGGAUCUAUGGUUCGUAAACUUCUUUUGCAGGGGAAUAAAGUGCAGGACGUGUCCUGUUUUGUAUGUACCCUGAGAAUAAGGAUCGGCUAACUCCGUGCCAGCAGCCGCCGUAAAAC